rnacentral:lncRNA from 1 species
GGUGGCUCGCUGGACUUGGGCCCAUUUUCUGAUGCGCUCCUCACCUAUAUAUACCCCUAUUGCGAGUUCAGAAUCAUUCUUUUGACAGGGGAGAACGGCCAGACCUAAUUUUGCUCUCUGGAGAGGAUCUCUUGGAUGCUUAGGCUCCUUUCCAUCUUUUCUAGGGUUUGCUUUUCCAUUCUUCUUCCAUUUUUCAUCUAAUUUCACCAUGUCUAUGGUGAACUAAACCCUAUUGUUGUUGGGGGAAACAAUGUAAUCUUUUGAUACUCUCUCUUAUUGAAUCUCUUGAUUAUGUAUAUUGUCUCCAUAUGUUUUGAUUGAUUAUUGUUGGGUUAUCAUCUGUGCUUAAGGCCUUUAUCGUUUAACUCAUUCGGUAUAUUGAUGUUUGUCUUUAUUGAUAUGGGGACGUACAGUAAUGACAUGAACUGUUGAGUAAUCUCUUGAUUUUGCAAUACCACCUAGGGAUAGGGGUAGGACGAUCAAUUGCGCUAACUUCUGUUUAUAAUGCGGUAUUAAUUACUAGGGGAGGCUAGGGAUAGCAAGCCAGUAGUUAAUAUUAGGCCCUUUUCGCCGAGGGAUCGGGUUAAGGGGAGGCUAAGAAAGUCACAUAACAAUUAAUCAAACUAAUAUUCAAGGGUAGUAUGUAAGANNNNNNGGAAUAGAUGAAAUUGUAAAACCCCAACAACAUCCAUUCAUCCAUUGUUUUCGUUUGUCAAUUGAAUCAACUUUAUUUUUGCAUGUUAAUAAUUUUGUUCUCAAAUCCAAUUUAUUAAUUUUUAUUUUUCAAGUCUUAUUAUUUUAAUUCACGCGAACGAGAAAGCCACACGAGUCUCUUGGGAAAACGAUACUUGGUCUUACCAUUUAUAUUACUUUUACGAUUUGGUACACUUGCCAAUUUGUCAACAAUCCACACCCAAUCACCAGGAGAGAAAGUGACCUUUUUCCUAGACUUAUUGACACUAGAUGCAUGCUUUUGAUUGGUGUGUUCAAUGCGCGCGCGUCUUAACUCUACUAUGUAAAUCUUUGUACAAAGCUAUAAUACAGUCGACUCCAUUAUUAAUAGAUUCGACAAUGCUAAAAUAUUUGUAUAGAUUUUGGGAAUUAGUGCUUUGUGAGAUUUUGAGAAGGAAAGAAUUUCAAAAUGUUUUUACAUGUUGAAGUCGACUAUGUGCGCCACAUAAUCGAUUGUAUUAGUUAUCUGUUU